rnacentral:snoRNA from 1 species
CUUCACUCAGGAUGACACCUGGAGAGUUUCCAGUACCCUACCAGUCUUGACUACGGGAGGGAGAGUCAAGCAGAGGCAUAGCCAUUCCAUUCCUAGCUUGGGCGGUGGCUAGCGAGUGGAAGGCCAUCUGCUACAAGU